CACAGAGUACUAGGGCUGGGUGCUAACAUACAAACACAGAGCAAAGAACUGAGGAAAACAAAGGGUUUAAAUACAAUCAGGGGAAACGAGGCACAGGUGCAACUAAUAAUGGGGAUCAAGGGAAAACAAAAGGUCAAAAGGCACAAUGGGGGCAUCUAGUGACCAAAAACCGGAACAACCCUGGCCAAAUCCUGACACUAAGAGGAAGGCGUCUCUCUCAAAAAAUAUCUGUUGGUAGUUACAGUCUUGUCCCAUCACUACAACUCCUCUAUGGACUCAGGAGAGGCGAAGGUCGAGAGCCUCACGUCCUCCAAAACACAACCCUGCCAACUCCACUGCUCGCUUAACCCGGAAGCCAGCCACACCAAUGUGUCGGAGGAAACACUGUGCAACUACCGACCGUGUCAGCGUGCAUGCGCCCAGCCCUCCACAGGAGUAGCUAGAGUGCAAUGGGACAAGGACAAGGACAUCCCGGCUGGCCAAACCCUCCCCUAACCUGGACGACGCUGGGCCAAUUGUGUGUCACCUCAUGGCUCUCCUAAUUGCGGCCAGCUGUGACAAAGCCUGAGAUCGAACCUGGAUCUGUAGUGUAGCCUCAAGCACUGCGAUGCAGUGCCUUAGACCGCUGCGCCACUCGGGAGGCCCCGACUGAGGGACCUUACAGAAAAUGAUAUGUGUGGCAUACAGAGAUGAGGUAGCCGUCACACAGAGCGAGUCCAUACAACUUAUCAUGUGGCUUGUUAAGCCAAUGUGUUCUCCUGAACUCAUUAAGACAUGCAAUAACAUAUGGAUUGAAUAUUCAGCUUUAGAUGUUUUAUUAAUAAGUAAACAUCUUGAAAAACAUGAUUCCACUUUGACAUUAUGGGGUAUUGAGUGUAGGCCAAUGGCAAAAAAAAAAAUUGAAUCCAUUUUAAAUGCAGGCUGUAACACAACAAAUUGUUUAGAAGUAAAGUGGUGUGAAUACUUUCUGA